rnacentral:rRNA from 1 species
GGACAGCAGAGGAAGGUGGAAUUCCCGGUGUAGUGGUGAAAUGCGUAGAUAUCGGGAGGAACACCCGUGGCGAAGGCGGCCUUCUGGGCUGUUCCAGACGCUGAAGGCGAAAGCUAGGGGAGCGAACGGGAUUAGAUACCCCGGUAGUCCUAGCUGUAAACGAUGGAUGCUGGGUAUGGGGGGUGUAAAUUCCCUCUGUGCCGAAGCAAACGCGUUAAGCAUCCCGCCUGGGGACUACGGCCGCAAGGCUAAAACUCAAACGAAUUGACGGGGGCCCGCACAAGCAGCGGAGCGUGUGGUUUAAUUCGAUGCUACACGAAGAACCUGACCAUGGGUUUGACAUGCACGUGGUAGGGAACCGAAAGGGGACCGACCUUCGGGAGCGAGCACAGGUGCUGCAUGGCUGUUGUCAGCUCGUACCGUGAGGUGUCGGGAUUAAGUCCCCUUUCGAGCGCAACCCUUGCCCUUAGUUACAAGUGUUUAAGCGGAGCUGCCACGGGACAAAUGGGAGGA